UUGAAAGGCGUCUUUAAAUAAAAUGUGUUCUUAUACUCUCCUGUUUUUCAGAAUAUGUCACUGAGCUCACCAACCUCCUCUUUAAUGAGGUCAUUCGUGACCCUGAACCUUUCGUAGCUGCCCUGAAGGAAGUAGCUGUUCCAGGGUUCCUCUGCUCCCAGUAUGAGCGACCUGACAAGGCAGAUGCAGUUGCCAGCCAAAUGUCCAGGUUCAGCUGUCCAGGUAAGGGUUGGCUCCUCCAACACAUUGUGGCUAAAUGCCUGUUUAUCCACAAGUCUGCCUAAAUCAGUAUCACAACAUUUAUAAUGAAUAUAAUCAAGCACAGAUCCAGCUCCACAGCCCUGAUGACACAAACACCUGCUGAGAGUGAGAGGAGGGGAGAGGACACCAACUAAAGAACCCAGAACUAUGAGGAACGGAGGAAGUCAAGGUACUCCUGGUGGAUACAGACAACAACGCAGGAAGGUAUCACUACCCGGUUGUGCUUUCCCAGGUAUCCCCAGCACCAGGAAAUGAAGGAUGCCAGCACAUCAUGAUCCCAAGAAGAUGAAAGAUGGAUCAACCUGCAGCGUGUCUGAAAUCUAUUUGGCUGUAUGGAUUGGCCUGGACAUUUGUUUUUUUUUUCUUUCUCUGUUUUAACUUCCAUGAAUUAUCCACAACCAUACAUUUGUAAUUUUGACUAAUCAGUUGUUGUGAAGCGUUAUCACAAAAUGUUCAAUUUGUUAGAUUUUUAUACAUGUUGUAUAUCCUAGUUCUCUAUUGUUCUCUGAGGCUGGGACUAGUUCAUGCAUUUGUUACCUCCAGGUUGGAUUAUUGUAAUUAUUGUAAUUCUCUCUCUGGAUGGAUAGGCCGGG